GUUGUUAGAAUUCACAUUAUAUAAAGCCCCGAUAAGCCAGCGAAAAACUAUUUAAGUUUCAGAAAGAGAUUACGCUUAGCUUCAUUUGUUUAGUGUUCCUCAUCAAUAUUUUUAAUAAAAAAUCACCAACACACUGGAAAUGAUAUCGUGUACAAAAUGUUUAUUACUUAUCACCUUUGUUGGUUUGACAGUGUUAGUAAAAUCUUCUGAUAGUUAUCCCAUGCGACCCAGUCAUUCACAGUUAGAAGAAAAAUCUCGACAGGAAAUAAUAACUUUAGCAGCGAGAAUUAUUAAAGUGGCUAUGUAUGGUAACCAAUGGGACAUAAUGAAACGUAAUGCUGGAACGGUGGACUCCUUGCUCAAUCUACCCGACUUAAGUGCUGGGCGUCGAUAAUUU